rnacentral:rRNA from 1 species
GUCUACAGCCAUGCCACCCUGAAUGUGCCCAAUCUCGUCUGAUCUCGAAAAAUAAGUAGGGUCGGGCCUGGUUAGUACUUGGAUGGGAGACCACCUAGGAAGACCAGGUGCUGUAGGCA